rnacentral:rRNA from 1 species
UCGCGCCUAGCCUUGCCUUGGCUCGACUCGCUGUGAGCGCUGGCUCGUUGGGGAUCGGACUCCUGGUAGGGACGAGCUACCGGUUGGGGAGGUACCGCCGGCCGCCGCCCCACGGCACCCGCCUCCCCCGGGCGCGGCAGCCCCGGGUCUAGGCGUUGGCGGAGGCGCACCGCGGGCAGCUGGCGGCGACCGAGACCGCGGCGGGGCUCCCGGCGCGGCGGAGGCUCCGGCAGGCGGUCACCAGGCUGGCGGAGGCGCGGUAGGACGUGGCCCUGUUCGUCCCCGGGCUGGUCGUCGUCGUCGUCGUCCCGGGGCGGAGGGGGCUGCGGCGCCGCCGCCGCUUCCGCUUCGGGAGGAGGUCGCGAGAGUCCAAGAUGUCCUUCUUUCACCCGUUUCUCCAAUUGCCCCAGCUUCUAAGGCACUAAAAGGCGAGCGAGGUUCGUGACCGGCAAGGAGAUUAACCGUUACGAACGAUACAAAAAUACGUGCCGGAAUUGAGACAGGUCUAAAUACCACGCCUCUUUGAAGUCGUCCGUAAUGUUCUCUCCGGAUUUCUGUUUGGAGAAGAUUGCCAGUCGUUAGUGCACCGACGAUACCUACUGGGAAAACAUUAACGCAGGGAAGACGGUGGUAGACAAUACUACCUUCGUGUUUUCGACUCUACCUGUGAUACACGCUGACUAGCAACGAAAUGUUUAGGUCAAGACAGGUGGAAGAAGUCCAGACAAUUUCACAACGGACAAUUGGCACCACUUCCGUAGAUGGUUUUCCCUUACCUAUACCGCGAGAGUUUCGAAUUAUUACCACCUACCCAAGUAUAUAAAGGACUUCCUUCAGCAAGUUUCCUACCUCCCUUUUGGUAACGAGGACGAUUCUCUCCACAACCUUCUAACCAUUACCUACGACUGUCGGAUGGCCAACAACAGGGGAAACAGGUAUGACCCUACGUCCUGUAUUACGGACAACCCUUUGCAUAGGGUUCUUGUCCGUUUUCCCACUAUCACCAACAACCGCUGGGUUAGUUGAAACUGCUGGACUACCGACUCUUGUCGUUGCUGAGGGUUGUAUAAAGAUCUCCACUGGACAUACUGUUUCAUUGGCUUUCCUAACCCGUCGCCGACGUCGUUGACUUCCACCUCCAGCUGUCUAACCGCCGUCUCGUCUUCCGGCUCGAGGUUUUGACAGUGUGUCGGCUGUGUCAGUUGCUGCCCAUGUUCCACACCGUCGUCCAGCUGACCCUCAGCAAGCCGUAUCCCUUGUACGACAGUCGUCGGCGGCUCGUAAGCAGUCGGGUUCUCGGGGGUUUCGUCUAGGUCGUGCUUCACGAGGACCGCCUUGUUUCGCACAGAGGUCGUUUCGUCCGUCUCGGGCUCGGCGCGGAGCUCCUCCUUGUCUCGCAAAAAAGAGGUUAGAGAGCGCAGGGUGUGACCAAGUCGGCCGUGUGCCUGCGGAGCCUCGAGUACCCCAAGCGGCGCGCGCCGGAACAGUCCUUGCCGUCCAGGUACGUCCUCCCCAUGGCCGUCAAGGUCCUCGGCAGCCGCAAGUUGCGGACCACCCUCCGCGUCUGCUCGUCGCGCUACUACGGGUCCACCUCGUGACGAACUCUAUCCCGUGGGAUUUGUCUCCGGAAGGGAAAACAUGUCUAUAGGUUGUUCCUGCGGCUGUGCUUAGAUCUAUCUUACGUAGACAAAAACGAAACGACCACGACCGUCAAAACCUCGAUCAUGCUUGCUUGUUACUUGACCUGUGGAAUUCAACAGAACUCUUCUCUACACUUUAAAGCUAUCGACUUCAGUCCAAACUACAUUCGUAUACAGCCGAACAAUUCACAUUCUUGAUCCAUCGAGAAACUUUACUUCCGUAAGUCUUCAAAAAAGGAGAACGGUCUCUUCUACUCGUACGUGAGAAAAACUUUUACUUCAGAGUAAACCUCCGUCACUCCGUCCCCACCGUUACUGUUGAGGUCGUCCACCAGGUGGUAAGAGACUCCAAAGAGGGCCAAUAGAGCACUAGUUAAAAGAAAGAUCUUGGUAGAGCACUACCACCGUCAUCGUCAACGUAGACAAUAAAAAAAAAAGGAAAAUUUAAAAGAAAAGUUAUUCCCACACCGAUCCAAAAACUCUGAAGCGCUCGGUUCACUAACUCGUAUACUUUUCUACUUUCUUUUAUAAUUUUUCUUUUAAAAUGUCCCUAGAAGUACAUUCUAAAUUG